rfam:Canis lupus familiaris chromosome X, whole genome shotgun sequence.
AGGAGGAACAACCCCAGUGGCUGCAGCAGCUCUGGAAACCUGGAUUCAGCUCCCGCAGGAACUCUGGAGCUCUCCCUCUGCAGGGCCUGGAGCCUCCGGGGCGGG